CAUAUAUAUUGCGAAGAGCAACUAUUUACAUUUAUAGGGCAUACAAAUGCAACCUUUGUUCUCAAAAACUAAAAAAAAAAAUGGUAGAAAACUGCAGUUAUUUUCAUUUGUGAGACAACACCCAAACCAUAAAUUGGAGAAGCUCCGUCAAACACCCAGCAAAGGGUAACUAAAAUCCUACUUUAACUGGUUUUGUAAAUCCUAAAUGACUUAUUACCUGAAGAUCAUUACUUUUUUAGAAACUGUCAAACAGAAUUCUUAGCUUUAGUGAAACCAAAACUUUUUUGUUCAGACAAAAAUUACUUUUUUGCAAUACAUCCUAGCGCAAUGUAAAAUUCUAAAGGAGCAGAGAAAUGUUUUAUGCCGAAACUAAUAGGACUAUGAAUAAGUUCGUGCGGAAUAAUAAUCAAGUUACGCC